AACGAACGCUGGCGGCAUGCCUAACACAUGCAAGUCGAACGAGACCUUCGGGUCUAGUGGCGCACGGGUGCGUAACGCGUGGGAACCUGCCCUUAGGCUCGGAAUAACUCCCCGAAAGGGGUGCUAAUACCGGAUAAUGUCUUCGGACCAAAGAUUUAUCGCCUUUGGAUGGGCCCGCGUUGGAUUAGCUAGUUGGUAGGGUAAAAGCCUACCAAGGCGACGAUCCAUAGCUGGUCUGAGAGGAUGAGCAGCCACACUGGGACUGAGACACGGCCCAGACUCCUACGGGAGGCAGCAGUGGGGAAUAUUGGACAAUGGGCGAAAGCCUGAUCCAGCAAUGCCGCGUGAGUGAUGAAGGCCUUAGGGUUGUAAAGCUCUUUUACCCGGGAUGAUAAUGACAGUACCGGGAGAAUAAGCUCCGGCUAACUCCGUG
rnacentral:rRNA from 1 species